GCCGCCCGCGGCGCCAGUUCCCGGCCGCGCCCCGCCCCGCCCGCGGAGCCGGGAAGUCCUGGGCGGUGGGCGGUACUGGGCGCUGCAGCGGCGGGGUCUGCGCCUCGGGCGGUUGGGGUCCCGCGGAGCAGAGGAGGCAGGCUGUCUGGAUACAAUUCGGCAUCUCAUACAUUUUUCAAGUAUCAGCUGGCACAUGGGGAGACCAUGGCCUGAGUCACAACUGAAAAUCUCACGAGGAGUCUUCACGUCUGCAAGAAGAGACGUGGUGGGCUUCCAUGGUGGCGCAGUGGUUGAGAGCCCGUCUGCCGAUGCGGGGGACGCGGGUUCGUGCCCCAGUCCGGGAAGAUCCCACAUGCUGCGGAGCGGCUGGGCCCGUGAACCAUGGCCGCUGAGCCCGCGCGUCCGGAGCCUGUGCUCCGCGGUGGGAGAGGCCACAACAGCGAGAGGCCCGCGUACCGCAAAAGAAUAGACGUGGUGUGUGGGGACCAGAGUUUUCCUUGAGUGACCGGGAAGUGGUUCACAUCACUGACUUUGCAGAUGUCCCGAUGUCACCACCGGCGUGUGUGAUUUCUCUGUAUACCAAGCCAAACUCAGCAAAUUUGAAAAAAGAAUGUUUGGUUCUAGACUAAUCAUCAAGGAUGUUCCAAUAAGCCCUAUCAUGGUUGAUUCAUCAUGCUUUGUAUUCUCUACUUUUCCCUGAAGGUAAAAUUCCAGAGUUGUCGGGUAACUCAGUUGAUGCACAGACCAGGCUGGUCCUCCACGUGUUCAGCGUCCUGGGAGCUCUCAGAAGCCAUCACUUAGGAAUUUUCAUGGAGCGUGAUCGAUUAUUAAUUUGUAGCCCCCCUCCCCUCCCUGGAGCCUGGGGGAUGGGACUGAAAGUUCAAGCAUCUCAUCAUGGUUGGACCUUUCUGGAGAGCAGCCCCACCCUGCAGCCAUCCGGGAGCCACCAGGAUUGGCCUCCUUAGAACAAGAGAUGCUCCUGUCACCCAGGAAGUGCCAAGGGAUUUAGGAGCUCUGUGUCGGGAUCUGGGGGAUGGGCAGAGACCAGUACAUAUUUCUUAUUAUAUCACAGCAUUUAUUGUAUAUAUGGCCAAAUUGGCGAACUCUUAGUCAUUUAAGAGUUUUCAAUACAUUCUCUUGGGUUUUCUGCUCUGUGGUUAUGCAAGAGGCAAAUGACCUUAAGAGGGAGCACAUCCUUCUCAUACACUCCUGGUUCCUGUUUUUAGAAUUUGUUUUUUGUUUUGUUUUGUCUUGGUCUUUUUUGCACUAUCCAGGAAUUCUGAGACAGAGUGUGCAAUCACCAUAAGAAUCCUUGUGCUGCCCUUUGUUAUAAUUUAGAGCUUGGUAAUUCCCAGUGCCCAUCAGACUAUGAAGAAGUGUGGUAUAAAUUCGGCUUUUUGGAGGGAAGUUAACAAGACUUUUUGGAAGUCUUUCAAUUUCAGAUGAAUGUUCCAGCACUCUCACUUUUAGAUUAUCUGUUGUACAGAAGCAUUUGCACACAUGCUCAGAUAUGUUCCAGGUUCUUUUCUUCAGCAUUAUUUAAAAAAUUCAGAUCUACAGGGGUUUUAAGUUAUUAUUUUUAAUUGUGGUAAAAACACACAUAAUAUAAAAUUUAUUAUCUUAAUCAUUUCUAAGUAUACAGUUAACAUUAUUUUUUAAUAGCAAAAAAGGAAAGAAAAAGAAAGGAAGAAAGAAGGGGAGGGGGAAGGAGGAAGGGUAGGAGAGGAAAGGAAUACAAUGAAAUGGAAUUAAUCCAAUUUUAAUUUUUUUCUCCAUAGGAGAAGAAUGUAAUUCAUUUAUAUGAUGGAAUAUGAUGCAGGAAAUUAAAAAAAAAUGUGAUUGGUCUAUAUGUCACCGAGACAAGCUUGCUCAGCUCGCCGCACAACAGCAAGAUGAGGUGUUGAAGCAAGGAAUAAGACCUUAUUCGGAAAGCUGGCAGACUGAGAAGACAGCAGAUGAGUGUCUCCGUCUUAUGUGGUCUGGAUGCCAGUUCCUUUUAUAGCACAGAGAGGGGGAGGAGAUGAGGAAGUAAAGUAAAAAGGCCAUACGUUUUGCAAAUAUCUCCUGGAAUGGCCAGCCUCGGGGAGGGGAUGUGUUAAUUUCUUCUUUCUUGCAGCCAUUCACAAGUGGACAGGGGCCGGAUGUUUCGCUGAACAAAGGCACUUUGGUUUAACAUUCAGGCAGAGGGGCAGGAUUCCCAGAGGCAGGGGAAGAGUAGCUCCCCGCUCGCCACAGGUGCCGUCCGCAGUUUCACUGUACUGGGCGUACGUACUUAAACAUGCAUGGCUUAAUCUUUGAGACAAGCCUAUGCUACAGGCAGGAUCGACCAAGUAGAGAGAAAAAGAUAAAUGUUUCAAUUCUGCUUAUGAAGGUAUAAUUUACCAAAUUCCUCUAAGUUAUAAUUAGUUUAAGGGGAAGGUUCUCCUUACACUUGGAAAACAGAUUGAAACCAGUCAUUUUUCAGAUAGAAACUAUAAAAAUUAUAACCAUAUUCACCAGUUUACUCAGUCCUAUGUAACUAAUCCUUUUUUAAAAACAGCUUUAAGAAGCCAUCAGUUUUCCCAUUAGAAUUCUUCAAUUUCUUACCCAGUUCAGCAUUAUUGUCUGAAAGCCAGAAACUUAUAUUUACCCAAAGGUCCCUUCUAUAAAACGUCUUGAAGAGGAAACAUUUUUGCAAAGGCGUCAGAGUGAAACCAUAACUGUCUAUAAUGACGAAAGACUUAAGAAGCACGUUUAAAUCUGGUUACAAUGCAACUGACAAAGUAACUUGGUUACUGCUGUGACAUGCAACACUUUUCAGACAAUAGCUAGAAUUAUGACUGAUAACAUUUUACCAGGACAUAUCAGAUUUUAGGAAGUCCAUAUAAUCCCUAGACUACCUCUCCAUUUGCCAUACAAUAUAACCUAAGAAGAUUUAUGACUUAUUUGACAACACUUCCCAUGUAAUUCAACAUACCAAGUGAACCUAAUUAGUUCAUAUCUCUCUUUGGGGUGUUUCAGGGGUCCUUUGAACCACUUUGUUUUAAUAUUCAGGCAGAGGAGCAGGGUUCCCCGAGGCAGGCCAUUACGUAUAGACAGUAUCCUUUUGGUGAACAAAAGCAACGGGAAGCAAAGGUUAAAGUAAAAGAAACAGAUCCAACAUGUAGUCAGAGUCGGCUCUUCCCUGUAUGUGUAUGCAGUUCCUGAAAAAGAUCAUGAAAACAAAUUAAGUGAAAAAUGUAUUUUGCGGGCUUCCCUGGUGGCGCAGUGGUUGAGAGUCCGCCUGCCGAUGCAGGGGACACAGGUUCGUGCCCCGGUCCGGGAAGAUCCCACAUGCCGCAGAGUGGCUAGGCCCGUGAGCCAUGACCACUGAGCCUGCACAUCCGGAGCCUAUGCUCCACAACGGGAGAGGCCACAACAGUGAGAGGCCCACAUACGGCAAAAAAAAAAAAAAAAAAAAAUGUAUUUUGCAGUACAAUGUGUAUAGUAUGAUGUCAUUUUUGUGAACAAAACCCUGUAUGUGUACAUGUGAAUUUAUAUAUGUGAAUCCAUAAGAAAAAGUUUAAGGGGCUACAUCUUUACUGCACAGUGGUUAUCUCUGGGAUAGAUUGGAGUAGGGGGUAUAGGAGGAAAACUUACAUUGUUUUACUCUCUAUAUGUCCAUUUAUUUAAAUUUUUAACUAAGAAAAUAUAAUUCUGGGGACUUCCCUGGUGGCGCAGUGGUUGCGAAUCUGCCUGCCAAUGCAGGGCACGAGCCCUGGUCUGGGAAGAUCCCACAUGCUGCAGAGCAACUAAGCCCGUACGCCACAAUUACUGAGCCUGCGCUAUAGAGCCCACGAGCCACAACUACUGAGCCCACGUGCCACAACUAGUGAAGCCCUUGCACCUAGAGCCCACGCUCCACAACAAGAGAAGCUACCUCAAUGAGAAGCCCACGCACCGCAACGAAGAGUAGCUCCCACUCACCACAACUAGAGAGCCCGUGCGCAGCAACAAAGACCCAACGCAGCCAAAAUAAAUAAAUUUUAAAAAUUAAAUUAAAAUUUAAAAAACGAAAAUAUAAUUCUGUAAUCUGCACAUAAUUUAAACAAGAUCUCCAGAAUACAACCAUUUGUGUAAUACUGAGUGACAAGGUACUGAAAUUGAAAUAAAAGCUACAUAAAUGGUUUUAAAAAUAUCCUUUUAUCCUUGGUUUUUAUAAGAGUUUUUAACAAGAAUGCCAGUCAAACAUUGACCUUUCUCUUUUCAUGAGUAAGGUUUAUUUCCAUUUUUUCCUUAUUUUUC